UCGAGAUGCUCUGCAAGCUGC
rnacentral:misc_RNA from 1 species